rnacentral:tRNA from 5 species
GGCCAGUUAGCUCAGUUGGUAGAGCAGCGGACUGAAAAUCCGCGUGUCCGUGGUUCGAUUCCGCGACUGGCCACCA